rnacentral:rRNA from 1 species
CCCUUAGAUGUUCGGGGCCGCACGCGCGCUACACUGAUGCAUUCAACGAGUCUAAAACCUGCUCUGAUAGGGGUGGGUAAUCUUUUGAAUGUGCAUCGUGAUUGGGAUAGAUGAUUGCAAUUUUUCAUCUUCAACGAGGAAUGCCUAGUAAACGCAAGUCAUCAGCUUGCAUUGAUUACGUCCCUGCCCUUUGUACACACCGCCCGUCGCUCCUACCGAUUGAAUGAUCCGAUGAAUAUCAUGGAUUGAGGAUUAUAGCAGGUUCGCCUGUCUUGAUCUUCGAGAAGUGAAGUAAAUCUUAUCAUUUAGAGGAAGGAGAAGUCGUAACA